GCAUUUAGGGCCUGAUCCAAAGCCCACUGAAGUGAAUGGGAAAACUCCUAUUCAUUUCAAAGGGCUUUGGAUUAGGCCCUUGC
rnacentral:pre_miRNA from 1 species